GGGCAUGCCCCUUCGUGGGCGUUUCCUCCCUAGACUCCGCCGGGGCCUGCGGGCUCCGGCGCCUUUUGGGAGACGA
rnacentral:sRNA from 1 species